CCUACGGGGGGCAGCAGUUUCGAAUCAUUCACAAUGGGCGAAAGCCUGAUGGUGCGACGCCGCGUGGGGGACGAAGGUCUUCGGAUUGUAAACCCCUGUCACCGGGGAAGAAACGUUAUGUUUUAACAGAACAUAGCCUGACUUAACCCGGAGAGGAAGCAGUGGCUAACUCUGUGCCAGCAGCCGCGGUAAUACAGAGACUGCAAGCGUUAUUCGGAUUCACUGGGCGUAAAGGGUGCGCAGGCGGUUGUGUGUGUCAGGUGUGAAAGCCCGGA
rnacentral:rRNA from 1 species